rnacentral:tRNA from 1 species
CCUUAAUUAGCUUAUUUUAAAGCCUUAAACUCUUAAUUUAAACGAAGAUAGUUAAAUCCUAUCAUUGAGGA